rnacentral:pre_miRNA from 1 species
ACUGGAAUUGCUGAGUCAUAUGGUUAACUCCAUGUUUAACAUUUUAAGUAACUGCCAGACUGUUUUCCAAAGUCACUGAACCAUUUACAUUCCCAUCAGCAAU